UCUAAUGAAGCAUACACAUGUUAAAUAUUAUAUUGCUAAACCUCAAGAUCAUGCAUAAAAUGUGAAAUGCUCAAACUUCAGCGAUCUAAGGAUGUUAUUAGAAAUUUCAGUCAGAUUCUAACUUCUUUCAAUAGUAAGUAGUGCAUCAAAUUUUAGCUCAAUCUUCUCAUGACACUGUUCAAAUCUUAAAUACAAUAAUUGCAUCUUUUUUUUUUUUUU